rnacentral:rRNA from 2 species
UACGGAGGGUGCGAGCGUUAAUCGGAAUUACUGGGCGUAAAGCGUACGCAGGCGGUUUGUUAAGCGAGAUGUGAAAGCCCCGGGCUCAACCUGGGAACUGCAUUUCGAACUGGCAAACUAGAGUGUGAUAGAGGGUGGUAGAAUUUCAGGUGUAGCGGUGAAAUGCGUAGAGAUCUGAAGGAAUACCGAUGGCGAAGGCAGCCACCUGGGUCAACACUGACGCUCAUGUACGAAAGCGUGGGGAGCAAAC